GCCAGAGAAAGAAACAAAAAUGCAAAAUAAACAGGAAAAGCGUGUCCAGUACCUUAUUCUCAGCCCAAGCUAUAAAAAAGAUGGCUGAAAUAAAAAUGAGAAAAUACUAAGUGAUUUUCAAGAUGAGACAUUAGAAGACACCAUACCCAUUUUAGAAAAAUCAUGGGAUAUAGAACAACAAACAGUUACACCUGACCUCUUGAAAUCCUGAUUAGAAACUUUUUUUUCGCACGAAUAAAGUGUGAAAUAAAAAACUUAAGAAAGCAAAGAAGAAAUUACAUUAUUAGCUAAAGAUGUACGAAAUAUUGAAG